rnacentral:rRNA from 1 species
CUCCUACGGGAGGCAGCAGUAAGGAAUAUUGGACAAUGGGGGAAACCCUGAUCCAGCGACGCCGCGUGUGUGAAGAAGGCCUGCGGGUUGUAAAGCACUUUUAGUGGGGACAAAAAGCUACGGAUUAAUACUCUGUGGUCUUGAUUUAACCCAAGAAAAGCACCGGCUAACUCUGUGCCAGCAGCCGCGGUAAUAC